UCAAUUACAAACGUUCCACAAUCAAAGAAAAGAAAACGCGGUUAUAUAAACUCAUUCUCGUGCAUGAAAGUCAGCCUAAUCCAUAAACUUAUGACUGAAAAGGAAAGCUCUUGAAAUGAUGAUCUGCCAACUGACUUGAUCAUUCCUUUGGUCUUAAUAUUCUGGUUUACGAGGAAAAAAGGCUUUUAAAAACCUUCUUCAGUGGAUGCCCACAAGAUGAGCAAAAAGUUGCUAGAAUAUGCAACAACAAAACUUGCCCAUUUUACUGCUCUCAGAACAUGUCAAUUUUCAUCACAUUCAAUAAUAAUCAUGAAUUCCAGUUUAAUAUCAAUAAAGAAAAUUUGAUUUAAUUAAAA